CAGUGCGCUCCGGAGUGGUCACAUGUUGGGCUAAGUGUCACGCCCCGGGACCGAUACCAAUUUGGCCCGACCCGAGCACGUCAAACAGACGCCGAACGGACAGAGUUUUCCCUAUCCGCCCAAGGCUCAUCACAUGUACAUUUUCAUCAAUAGAGAAAAGCACUAGCGGAAAUGUAGUGUACCGAAUUUUAACAUAGAAGUAAGAGUAAAUAAAAAUAGUGUAAAAUACUAUUUUUAUUGGACUUAAAGAAGUUUUCUAUGUGCAAAUGAGGUGCUUACUUGGGGGUUAAGUUUCCUAUGCAUAAGUAAAGAGUUUACUUGGGGGUCAAGUUUUCUAUGGCUAAGUAAUGGGCUAACUUGGAGGCUAAGUUUCCUAACUUGGAGGCUAAGUUUCCUAUGUAUAUAUAAAUAUGAUAUGAGGACUUGGACCUUUUCUCUCAUUUUCCACCCCUUAACCCAAAAAGAGAAGCCUUCUCUUUCCCUCUCUAAACCUCUCUCUCUCCUAGCUCCUAGAGU
rnacentral:lncRNA from 1 species